AGCUGGUCAAGAGGGGCCUGCCUACUUCCUGAUCGGCUGGGGUCAAAAGUUCAAAAUGCAAAGGUCAAGAGCAGGUGGCCCAGAGAUAAACAAUGCACAAUGAGACUGAAGAUCUGCAACUGGAUAAAGGCACAAUAGUCAGAACACCAGAGGGCGCCCUCACAAGCAGAAGGACCACUCAUCAUACAGUAUGUGUACAUUACCGGAGCUGUGUCACUCUCAAAUGGACUGGAGAAGUUUGUCAGUGUGUUCUGGCUUCCUGGGGGGCACCUCAUGUGAUACAUGUGGAACACCCCCAGCCCGAUGUCACUGCAAAGUAUGAAUAGAGACUGUGUUUUGGUCGUGUCAUCUGCUCUGGAGGGGUUGAAAAUGGCUCAGCAGGAAACCAAAGGACUGUCCCACACCUGGAUCUGACACCUGGACUGUAC